rnacentral:rRNA from 1 species
AUGGCCUCCAACAACAACAAAACAUUGAAGGGGGGCAGUAGCAAGACGGUUACUCCACAGAAGAUUCAUUCGGCUUCACCAACACCUAAUACUCGACAACAUGAUGCCCUGAAUGCAAGGGCUGCCGCGGGGGCAAGUAGCAAGACGGUUACUCCACUGAAGAUUCAUUCGGUUUUGCCAACACCUAAUACUCAAAAACCAGAUGCCCUGAAUGCACGUUCUGCCACGGCGAUGAGUACGAAUCACAUUACUCCACUGGCAUCACGAAAUGCCGGGGGCAAUAGCAAGACGGUUACUCCAAUGAAUAUUCAUUUGGCUUCGCCAACACCUAAUACUCGACAACAGGAUGCCCUGAAUGCACAGGCUGCCACGGCUAGUGGUAUGCCUGCGAGUGCAAGGAAACCAUCCACAACAGAGUGGCAGAAACAAAGUCAGGCAUCUUCUACUGAUCAACCUAGACGUCAUGUCCCAUCAUCAUCAGAGAGCAAUAGGAAUGGGCAAUCAUCAACAAGCAGCAGUCAAAGGGGGCAUGCGGAGUCUCAUGGUGCCGGAAAACCGAAGUCUGCAGGAACAAAAAACAAGUGA